AUCCAAAUGACGUGUCCCAAAUAGGACGAAAUGUGAAUCCUGGAU
rnacentral:hammerhead_ribozyme from 1 species